ACCGGAGCGACGCCGCGUGUGGGAACGUAAGGGCCUUACGGGUCGUAAACCUACUGUCGAAGGGACGAUAAUGACGGUACCCUUGGAGGAAGCCCCGGCUAACUACGUGC
rnacentral:rRNA from 1 species